UGUCUAUCAGCUGACAAAUGGAUAAAUAAAAUGUACUACAUACUAUAAUGGAACAUUAUUAAACCAUAAAAAGAAAUAAAGUACAGAUAAAUGCUACAACUUGCGUAAACCUUGAAAAUAUGCUAAGUGAAAGAAUCCAGUCACAAAAGUCUACAUAUUACAUGAUUUUAUUUAUAAGAAAGUCCAGAAUAGGGAAAUAUAUGAAGACAGAAUGCAGAAUAGUGAUUGCUUUGGGCUGCAGGAGAGAUAGCAGCCCCAAGGGAGGGUUAUAACUAAAAGACAUGUCACCUUUUUUGAAGUGAUGAAACUGUUCUAAAAUUGGUGAUGGUUGCACAUAUCUGUGAAUUAAAUCUGUUGUAUACUCUAAAUAGGUGAAUUGUAUGAUAUUAAAUUAUAGCUCAGUAAAGCUGUUUUUUUUUUUUUUUUAAAGAUAUCAAAUCUACAAUCUCAUCUUCCAUCUUAAAGUGGAAAAAGAAGAACAAGGCCGGGUGCGAUGGCUCACGCUUGUAAUCCCAGCACUUUGGGAGGCUGAGGUUUCUGAGCAAGAUGCUUGCAUGAAAGAUUCAAUCUAAUGCCAAUGCAAAAAUAUUGUGAAAGCAGCAGGAUCAGCUAGGCUUCCAGUUGGCUUCUUAAAUGCUGCAUUGAGAGGAUGAAACAGAAUGGGUGUGAACAAGAGUUCCCUGAGAAAGGAUAGCUCUUAGAGAGAGAGGAUGCUUACUGGACUCAAGAAGAUACCAAAUCAUGAUCACUUGCUCUGGGGAAAGCCAGCUGUCAUAUUGUGAGCAGACCUAUGAAAAGGCCCACUUGGUGAAGAACUGAGGCCUCUGACUGAUGGACACAUGGGUGACCUUGCAAUCAAGUCUUCUGGCCCCAACCAAGCCUUCAGCUGAGACUGCAGCCUCAUGAAAGAUCCUGAGCUAGAAGCAUCCUGCCAUCCUAAUAAGCCACUUGAAUUUCUGACCCUUAAAAAUUGUGAGAUAAUAAGCACCUGUGCUUCUUUUAAGUAUUAGGUUUAAAAAAUGCUGAAAAAAUAAAGAAGAAAAAAGACAACUCAUAAUCUCACCACAUUAAAAAGAAUAGCUAUAGAAAAAUUCCAGUAGUAUAAAAAAUAAAAAUGGAAAUAACUCCCCACCAUCCCCGAUCUUUAGUUCUUUUUCCCACAGUGACGUUUUCUUUCCCAAGACAUGUUCAUGCAUAUGCAAUAUAUGUAUGCAAUAUAUGCGUAAACUCUUUAAGAUGUUCACAAAAGGAUCAUGUUACACUCACUUGAAAAAAUAUUAUAUA